CUACGGGCUGCACCAGUGGGGAAUAUUGCACAAUGGGCGCAAGCCUGAUGCAGCAACGCCGCGUGAGGGACGAAGGCCUUCGGGUUGUAAACCUCUUUUAGCAGGGAAGAAGCGAAAGUGACGGUACCUGCAGAAAAAGCACCGGCUAACUACGUGCCAGCAGCCGCGGUAAUACGUAGGGUGCAAGCGUUGUCCGGAAUUAUUGGGCGUAAAGAGCUCGUAGGCGGUCUGUCACGUCUGCUGUGAAAUUUCGAGGCUCAACCUCGAACUUGCAGUGGGUACGGGCAGGCUAGAGUGCGGUAGGGGAGAUGGGAAUUCCUGGUGUAGCGGUGGAAUGCGCAGAUAUCAGGAGGAACACCAAUGGCGAAGGCACAUCUCUGGGCCGUAACUGACGCUGAGGAGCGAAAGCGUGGGGAGCGAACAGGAUUAGAUACCCGUGUAGUC
rnacentral:rRNA from 1 species